GCAGAGGGCUGAGUGGCGUGAGGAGGGGCAUGGCCAUGUACCUUCCGUAGGGAGCGCCGGGCCGCCACGCGUAGCCUGACCUGCUGGUUCCACCAGUGUGCCCCGACGAAACCCGCGAAGUGUCCCAACUGCAGCUGUCUUAGGCCGAAGAGACGGCUGAGCAGUGAGGAACAUGAAGUGCUGAAGUAAGAGCUCCAGCUUCAGGAGACCCAAUGCCUCUGGCUAUCACAGACAGGGUUUCUCUGCGUAUCUUUGACUGUCCUGGAACUCACUCUGUACACCAGGCUGGCCUCUGCCCUCCGAGUGCUGGAAUUAAAGGCAUGUGCCACCAUGAACGUCUGGCUCUGAGGUUUUACUAAUAUCAAUCAGAAUUCGUGCUACAGCCACACACACAUGGAAGGAGAGUACUAACUUCAAAUAGCUGUCCUCAGGCCUCCACGCAUGUGCUGUAGCAUGUGCACACAUAAUAAUAAUAAAAAUGUAAACUGAGUCAUUUCUUUCUGUAGUUCUUUGAAGGUGUGUACAUAAAUAUAAUUCUAUCUGCGUUAGUGUUAACUUAUAUAGCAUGGGUGCUGUAGCAGCUGCUCAAUUCUCUCAGGAACUUGUGGGAAGGGGCAAGCCACACCAAACAGUCCGAAUGCUGCUGGGGCUACAGUGACACUGUACAGAAUCAAGAAGGAGGAAGGAACAGGGAGUGAGAAGGUCCAGGAAUAGUGGAACUGGGCCGUGAAUCAUGGUCUCCUGAACUAAUUUAUGCUCAGUA